CAAUAGCGUAUAUUAAAGUUGUUGCGGUUAAAAAGCUCGUAGUUGGAUUUCUGCUGAGAACGACCGGUCCGCCCUUUGGGUGUGUAUCUGGCUCUUUCUUGGCAUCUUCUUGGUGAACGUUGCUGCACUUGACUGUGUGGAGCGCUACCCAGGACUUUUACUUUGAGGAAAUUAGAGUGUUUCAAGCAGGCAUACGCCUUGAAUACAUUAGCAUGGAAUAAUAAGAUAGGACCUCGGUUCUAUUUUGUUGGUUUCUAGAGCUGAGGUAAUGAUUAAUAGGGAUAGUUGGGGGCAUUCGUAUUAACACGUCAGAGGUGAAAUUCUUGGAUUGUGUUACGACGAACUACUGCGAAAGCAUUUGCCAAGGAUGUUUUCAUUGA
rnacentral:rRNA from 1 species